CAAUAGCUCAGUUGGUUAGAGCAUCCGACUCAUAAUCGGCAGGUCCCCUGUUCAAGUCAG
rnacentral:tRNA from 13 species